rnacentral:rRNA from 1 species
UACGGAGGGUGCGAGCGUUGUCCGGAAUCAUUGGGCGUAAAGGGCGCGUAGGUGGCCUGCUAAGCGUGCGGUGAAAGCUCGGGGCUCAACCCCGAGUCGGCCGUGCGAACUGGUGGGCUUGAGCACUGUAGAGGCAGGCGGAAUUCCGGGUGUAGCGGUGGAAUGCGUAGAGAUCCGGAAGAACACCGGUGGCGAAGGCGGCCUGCUGGGCAGUGAGCUGACACUGAGGCGCGACAGCGUGGGGAGCAAACAGG